rfam:Candidatus Rokubacteria bacterium 13_2_20CM_69_10 13_2_20cm_scaffold_285, whole genome shotgun sequence.
GGGGGCGUGGCGAAACGGCAGACGCCGAGGACUUAAAAUCCUCUGUCCGCGAGGACGUGCAGGUUCGAAUCCUGCCGCCCCUA